CUCAUGCCUCCGGCAUAUUCUCUCUCACACGCAGGCAGGAACACUUCCAUAAAGAAGACUAGAAUGACAGAGACAAACACCACUCUCACCACCACAUGAUCAGGAAGGAAAAUGGCCCUGUUAUCCUACAACAAUGGGUAAACAAAAAAUGGGCAGAAUCUACCCAUCCCCUCUCCAAAGGGGAAAGUAUGGUCAUUCAACAAAAGAGAAGAAUUCCAAGAAUUUGUAAAGAAAAGACCAAACCUGAAUAGAAAAUUUGAUGCCCAAGCACAGAACUCAAGAGAAUCAUCAAAAGGUAAUUUAAAAAGAGGGAAAAAAGAAAAACAAAACAAAACAAAACCCUCCAAAAAACACUUUUUUUAAGAGACUCAAUAAGUUAAAAUGAUAUGUAUCCCUAUAAGAAAAGAGGUUAUAGGUAACUCUUAAAAAUUGUUAUUUUCAACUGGACAGCUAGAAGAAUUACACUUAGAGGGA
rnacentral:lncRNA from 1 species